rnacentral:lncRNA from 10 species
CUUCCCAGCCUACAACGCACUUUCUCAGGGAUUCUCAAACUUCCUCCCACCUCACAUCCUUUUAAGAAAAGAACAGAGAAAGAUCCAGUGCAAAAACUCAUAGGAAAUGAUCAAUUCAUGCCAAGUGAUGAGAACUAGAGAAGAGAGAUGAGAGCAUUGUUCAUACACGAUGGUCUAGGUCUCCUACCCCAAGAGAACUUGCAACAAAGCCCAAAGUACAACAGCCACGUUUAAAGAGAAGAUUCCAUUUCAGCCAGACAACAUGAUUCAUCAUAUUUAUUUAAUAUUGUUAAUUUGAAUUUUAUUAGAUCUGUACUGAUGUUUGUAUUUAAUUUCUAAUUUGUUUUGGUUUCAUAAUUCACUAAAACAAUAAGCACAAAGAGUUUCUAUCUGAC